GAAAGGUAGGCAGGCAGACUGAGCUCGCGACUCGGUGUCGCACAGCACGCCUGCUACCGCUGGCGGGGGAGGCGCAGGCGCACUGCGUGCACCAAAGCUGCGGAAGCGCCGCAAACUGCAUGGGAAACCUCUGCGCUCCAGGUAAAGGAAGCCUGGAAAAUCAGCAGGACUCAGCCCUUGAGGACCAUGAUUUGAAUAGCCUUGUCAUACACUAAUGAGGUAGGUACGCAGUUCAGGUAGCAGUCGAACGUUCUUGUGCAGUAGCUUAAAUAAGUACUGAGAAAAAAUAAUAUUUUGGGUUAUCAUUUUAUUCAGAUGAUUUAUGUUGAUGUAACAUCAUUUAUGAAACGUUCAAUAAUUUAUAAAAAUAGCUGUUCCAGCUACAGACUUGCAUUAAUCUUGAAUUUUUACAGCAUUGCUAGAUGCCAGUGUCCCGUAUAAACUCCCCUAUGUGUUUUUUUUUCCUCAUUCAGGGGCUUUUGUUCAGAAACUGUGGCAUGUUUUUGUCUUCAGUCUUGCAUCUUGUUAUGCUCACCAACUUCUUCUGUGCGGCAGAUACAGAUGAAGCAACAAUUCCCAAGAAUCUGACUGCAGGUCUGCUUAGGGAUAGGACUGAUGGUUCAUGCCAGUAAUGGGUCCUUGUCCUCUGAGUCACAGCGCGCAUGUUGGUACCUGCUGAACAGUGUUGUCGGGUUGACUUCACAUCAGUGUCAAAUCUGCGCCUAGCCCUCUUUUCACUGCGGCUGUAGAAAAAUUUGCGACACGUGCAAGACCCGGCGGUGAGCUUGACGCAGGUGCUCAGACAGGCUACUGGUGAAGUAGGAGUUGUCUCCCCCAUCUCAGAAGCCUGCCGCCUGUCAGCGAGGAGUCUUUUUUUUCUUGGUUUCAACAUCAUCUUUGCCAUAAACUGCGAGGUCUUUAAACCUUAUGUCAGCCACACCAUGAACGUUUGAUUGCCCAAGAAUCUACACUGACAUUGUGAUGCCAGUUGUGUGGCAAGGGAGUUGCCCUGAUGCACAGUGGAUGCAAGUUCUCUGUGAAGGAGGGACAUAAGAUUGAUAAUUUAUUGAUCCCUGUGGGGAAAUUGUCUUUACGCCUCCCUCAGCUUGCUCUUUGUAGAGUAAGCUGCCUGCGAAGGGCAGCCACCCAUAGCGGCGACCACUGAGCCACACUGCCCCCAUACACAGAAUACACAGAAAUAUGAUUUUCAGAUGAGCCCUCCCAUGACUCCUCUUCAAAAGGCCUCAGUGCCUCAGUUGUCAGGUGGAUCAGGAAUAGCUCUUCCUCACUCAGACACAGCGCCCCCUUGCAGACGGGCAGGAGGCUGCAGUCGCUGCUGCUCUCCCCUUAUACACAUUCUCUAACAUAUACUGUAACAGGCAGUAGACUGUCUUGUUUCUGCUGACUGAAUCAGCUUGUUCUAUUCUAAAUUCAGCUGCAUUUCACUGCUCCCAGACUUGUGUUAUGAUGCGUGGAGCAGGCAAGCAGGAAAGUAGGCGAGCAGAGUCGGUGACGCGGGUGUCUUGGCUCAAAGGUUCUAAAAAAUGCCCAAAAACCUCUGUUUUCAACAAUAGAGAGUGGCUGAAUUUCUCUGACAAUCAUCUCUACCAGGCAUCUUAUAAUCACUUUAGCUCUUGGAGAGUCAUCUACCCAAAACAGAAAUACUCAAGUCUAUGGACGACGAGCUACACUGCAUGUCCUUAAAGUAGGCCGGUCCUUAAGACACUUAACGUUACUAACUUAAUAAGCCUAGUCGGCUACCUACUUUAAAGGUGAAGUAGUCAAUAUGAAUUGUUUCAUUUUAAAAUGCACUUUGACAAAAUGACACAAUGGCUAACAGCAGAUUAUUGCUCAGAUUAGGCCUAAAUUGUGUUAAAUCUCCAUUUUAAAAAUCAACAUUAUCUGUUAGCCUGCUGUGGGUAGCUAGUGCAUAUUUAGUAGCUAAAAGUUGCAAAAUAGUGGAUGUAAGCCAUGUUAACUUAGCAGUAGUUAGUGUCCAGUUUUUCUAGAGUAAAAAUACUGCCCUGCUAGUCAGUUAAAAGUGGUUGCAUCAGCAGGUUUGAAAUCUGGCCCACGUGGUGCAUAUAAAUCAGACUAAUGUAGCUAGCUAUCUAUGCUUAGCUGUCUAUGCUUAGUUGUAGCUAGCUAAGUAACCGGGUUAAUGUAAAAUAGGUUCUAGCUAGUUAUCUGGCCACUUAGCUAUUGGGUCGUGCCUGUAUUACCCAGCAUGCCCUGCAGCUUCAGGCAUAACGAAAGAACUGAACUGUUGUGUUGUUCUGUUAUGCAUGUAAUUGUUGUGAGAUUUUUUGGAAAAAAAAAGAGUGUUUACUGUCGACCCUGAAUAUAAGUGCUAUUGAAAUUGACCACACUGGCUGUCACCAUGAGUACUCUUGUUGUGAGCUUCAUGUUCAUGUCACUAGUGUACACGGUGUUGAAUGAAGCUGCUAUCUCUUGGCGAUUCUGCUGGCUGGAAAUCCUCAGAGGUUCAGGAAGCCUCGUUUCACCAUCACUAACUCACUGACUUGUGCGGAGCUGGAAGAGCAGGUGGAAGGAGUAGUAGUCCCUAUCCUAACACUCACAUUUACGUUGGUCCUGCUUGUGCUUCAUGUCCUGCUCCCUAUUAUAAUAUAAACAUUGAAAUUACCAGGUACAAAGAAUGUUACAUUAGAAUCGAUUCUCAAAAUGAAACAUUCAGAUGGAAAGAAUCAAUGUAUCGAUCUGUACAUCCUUAGCCGCUCUGACAUGCCGCCCCCCUGAUGCAAAUACUAUUUUUUUUUCCCCUCAAUCAAAACAUUUUGCCACAGACACAGUAGUCCAUGUAGGGACAGGUUGACGAUCCCUCUGUUAAGUCCUAGCUGCUUAUUUACAGAUAGUGGGCAGCGCUGUUGUCUGACACCUCCACAGCUGGGCUGUUUGAAUCCCCCGUCCUGUUUGCACUGUAGCCUCAGUCACAUGGGCACCCUUAUCCUCCCACAGUGCUAUGCAUGCAGUUGGGUGAGAGGAUUUCUCUAAAAUGCCCAUAAUAUUUUUACAUGUCCUGUGAUUGCGUGUAAUCCCGCCCCCGUGGCCCCCACCAAGAUAAGUGAAUAGAGGACGCUGUUUUUACAUUGUUUGCUGAGAAAGCUAAAAAUCAGAACAGGCAAUUUCAUUCCUGUAAUUAGCUUUUAAGAAACAUCACUAUGCCAUCAAUCACUAGCUAGCCAAUAAGAACAUAAGAAAUUUUCAAACGAGAGGAGGCCAUUCGGCCCAUCAAGCUCGUUUGGGGAGAACUUAACUAAUAGUUCAGAGUUGUUAAAAUCUUAUCUAGCUCCGAUUUAAAGGAACCCAGAGUUUUAGCUUCUGCUACACACGCAGGAAGACUAUUCCAUACUGUGCUUUCAAUGUGCAGCCAUGCAGCAAAGGUAAAAUUAUCCUAAAUCACUUAAACCUUAAUGUUAACAGCACCAACACUUUCCAGUCCAUAUCUGUAUGCGUUAUUAUCUGUACAUUUCACCCUAUAUUUGGUCCAUAUAUCUUAGAAAACAUACAUGUAGAUUUUCAUUCAGAGCAAUUUUAGUUCUGAUCACAUCUUUUCAGUAAAAAUGUUGCUAGACCACCAACACUGCCGGUCAGAUUCGUCUCCUCCCUCCCGUCACCGUGAAAACAAAGCCGGUCUCCAAAUUAGCAUUGCAUAGUGAACGGCUUCCUGUUGUGAAUUCCAUUUGCAAGUACAAUGUGCCCAUGACUUGAAGAGAUGAGAUAUACAUCGACAUCCUGCCUGACGGACGUUGGCAGAAAGUCCUUCUUUGUCGUCCAGCUAAGCUGGGUACUGCAUCCAGUGACGCUUUCCUUAAACAGGCUGAGCCUUAAGUGGAGUGUGGUGAGAUUUAACAAUGAGGAAGUGUAGGCCUAUUUACUUUAUCUGGCUAUUAUUUAUUGUAAUAUGAACAAAAGGCUUUUAAAUGUGAUUAAAAAAAAAUCCAAACUUUGAGAUCCCAUCAAACAAAAAAGCUUGAUUUGCUGCCGGACAAACCACCAAAACAUUUCAGUGUUUUUAAUGCUGACUCACCAAAAGGGCAUCAUGUUGGAAAUCUGCUGCCACGUCUUCUACUCAUUAUCUCCAAAUCUAAUGUGUCCUUAUUGUAAAUGCAUGCAUUGGAGAUGCAGGCAGGUGCAGUGACAUGUACCACGUUUUAAAAGGGACCCACAUACAUUCACGCCAACCUGAAUAAGCCUAUUUCUAUGCGUGUGGUGGCCCGAAACAAUGCUUUUAAGAUGGGGUUGGGUGGAUCAGGUGACCAGAACUAUUCCUAUUCAUUGUACUUGUCCUGCAUACACGACAAAACAUAAAUCGGUAGUUCUCUUCUUUCACAACCCCAUUAAACUCACAAUUUUCCUC